GCACCUACGGGACGCAGCAGUGGGGAAUAUUGGGCAAUGGGCGCAAGCCUGACCCAGCAACGCCGCGUGAAGGGAGAAGGCUUUCGGGUUGUAAACUUCUUUUAUCAGGGACGAAGCAAGUGACGGUACCUGAUGAAUAAGCCACGGCUAACUACGUGCCAGCAGCCGCGGUAAUACGUAGGUGGCAAGCGUUAUCCGGAUUUACUGGGUGUAAAGGGCGUGUAGGCGGGAGUGCAAGUCAGAUGUGAAAAUUAUGGGCUCAAACCAUAGCCUGCAUUUGAAAAU
rnacentral:rRNA from 1 species